AUUCCAGCUCCAAUAGCGUAUAUUAAAGUUGUUGCGGUUAAAAAGCUCGUAGUUGGAGUUCUGCCAGGUGGCGCUCGUCCGCCCAAGUGGUGUGUACAGGGCGUGCAUCUGGCCCUUUCAAGGGGAACGUGUCUGCACUUCAUUGUGUGGUGCGAGAUCCUUGACUUUUACUUUGAGGAAAUAAGAGUGUUCCAAGCAGGCUCUCGUCGUGCAUAGCUCAGCAUGGAAUAAUAGCAUUGGACCUCGUUUCUACGCUGUUGGUUGCAAGAAGCGAGGUAAUGAUUAAUAGGGACACUCGGGGGCAUUUGUAUUCAAACGACAGAGGUGAAAUUCUUGGACCGUUUGAAGACAAACUACUGCGAAAGCAUUUGCCAAGAAUGUUUUCAUCG
rnacentral:rRNA from 1 species